UGGGGGAUAUUGCACAAUGGGCGAAAGCCUGAUGCAGCGACGCCGCGUGGGGGAUGAAGGCCUUCGGGUUGUAAACUUCUUUUGCUCUGAACAAGGCAUGCUAAUGGGUGUGUUGAGUGUAGGGGUUGAUUAGCGCCGGCUAACUACGUGCCAGCAGCCGCGGUAAUACGUAGGGCGCGAGCGUUGUCCGUAAUUAUUGGGCGUAAAGGGCUUGUAGGUGGCUGGUUGCGUCUGUCGUGAAAGCUCAUGGCUUAACUGUGGGUUUGCGGUGGGUACGGGCUGGCUUGAGUGCAGUAGGGGAGGCUGGAAUUCCUGGUGUAGCGGUGGAAUGCGCAGAUAUCAGGAGGAAUACCGGUGGCGAAGGCGGGUCUCUGGGCUGUUACUGACACUGAGGAGCGAAAGCAUGGGGAGCGAACAGG
rnacentral:rRNA from 1 species